AUUGAACGCUGGCGGCCGGCCUAACACAUGCAAGUCGAACGAGUGGCGGACGGGUGAGUAAUGUCUGGGAAACUGCCCGAUGGAGGGGGCUAACUACUGGAAACGGUAGCUAAUACCGCAUACCAUCGGAUGUGCCCAGAUGGGAUUAGCUAGUAGGUGGGGUAACGGCUCACCUAGGCGACGAUCCCUAGCUGGUCUGAGAGGAUGACCAGCCACACUGGAUAUGAGAAACGGCCCAGACUACUACGGGAGGCAGCAGUGGGGAAGAUUGCAAAAUGGGCACAAGCCUGAUGCAGCCAUGCCGAGGGUAUGAAGAAGGCCUUCGGGUUGUAAAGUACUUUCAGCGAGGAGGCGUUACUCGCAGAAGAAGCACCGGCUAAAUCCGUGCCAGCCGCCGCGGUAAUUC
rnacentral:rRNA from 1 species